rnacentral:tRNA from 1 species
GGGGCGGUAGCCAAGUCGGUGAAGGCAGCAGACUCAUAAUCUGCCGAUUCGUGGGUUCGAGCCCCACCCGCCCCA